AGCGAUGGUGAUCAAUCUUGUCAAAAUUUGACUUCUAAAAGAAGUCACGUUGCAGAAGAUACUAAUAGAAAUCAUGUUGCAGAAAAAGUAAAUUUGGUUUCUACUAGGAAUCAUGUUGCAGAAAAUAUUGGUUUGGUCCCUGAACCUCAGGGAAGGGACCAUUCGAUUUCUUGUUACAGAAAUCAUGUUGCAGAAAAAAUCGUCGAAGAUUCUGUUGAGGCAGAAACUCGACGGCUUGCAGAACUCAAUCGACGGGGUGAUGGCUUUGAUGGACGGAAUGACACGUCUGUCUCGGCUGUGCAGUCAUCAGAUUAUCCAGAACAGGAAUCAUCAGAUUGUAAUGGUUCUAGUUGUGGUAGCGGUUUAUUGAAUUCUCAGUUGGACGGUGGGCAGGUAGAUGUCCGGUUCAGUUCACGGAGGGAUUUUCAGAAUGAAUACUCUCCUGAGGAGACUGGAGAGACCACUCCGGACUUCUUCAAAUCAAAGUCAGAUGAAGGAGUUUACGUGGAGGAUGGCAGUGACGCGAACCCUGAAACCGAAUCCUUCAAUGAAUGGGUAAACAUAGUCUUUGACUAUCAAUCUUCCGUCAGUGGCAUAUGUUAAGAACUAUCAAAUCCUCAAGGAGGAUAUUAGAUCAUUAUGAAUGUUGUAAUAUUGUUUCACUUAUGGUGUAUUGUAUUCCAAGCUUUGUAUUCUUUGAGAGUAGUUUUUACACCCAAGAGGCUGUUAAUUUUGUAAACAAAAGGCAAGGCAGCAAGUCCGAGAUCUUCUGGGUUAUCUUAGAAUUCAUAACUUAAUGAGGGGAUCAUGUUACUGUCCAGUUUGCUCAUAGAUUUUGCAAUGUUAUUGCCCAAUCUAUAGCUAAAUCAGCUCUAUAGAAAUGUGAAACUGUUGUUUUAGGCUCGUACCCUUCGCGACUGAUGUACCUAUUUUCUUCUUUGAAUUGAAAGUGGUUUUAUUCUCAGGUAAAAAAAAAGAUUGUAUUUUUUACAUAUCGGGAAUAUUAGAUAAACAUUUAGUCUUGCUCAUCAAAGAAUUUACUGAUUAACUGAAAUAUCAAACAAAAGAUCCAUAAUCCAUUUAUAUAUGAUGUUAAAAAUUCUUGUGAUGGGAACCAUUUCAUUCAUGUAUGUAUGACACCUUUUUGUUGGCUUCUCUAACAAUCUCCGAGCAUCCUUGUAAAUAAUACGAAGAUGUUAGUCAAGCAGUUCAUUGUGGCUUUGAAGCUUAAAUAAUUUUCACAUAUUGAAAAGCAAAAACAAGAGAUAAAAUGAACCCCAUCCCGGGUGACUGAAGUUGCUCCUUCAGAAAGGUGACUUAUUUACUUUAAAGAAACAAGUAAUAAAGCAGAAACAAGAGAUAAAAAUGCGCAGAGCACUGCUUAUUUCACCCUUCAAUUUAUUGGAAUACAUAUAUUAAAGACUGUUUCUGGUACCCCAAGAUGGGUGAUGUACAACUACAGCUACUCUGCGCUCCUCAUAAUCCUCUUCCAAUGGUCUACAUGGAUUUAUUCGAAAGCUAGUGAAAUGAUUUUGAAGAUAAAAUUGGUCAUUCCAGAUUUAUUAAAAUUGAAUCUGAAAACACAUUUCUGAAAGUACAUUUUUGAAAACACAUUUCUGAUUUUGAAAACACAUUUCUGAAAAUACAUAUUUUAAAAAGUGCUGACUAAUAUCCAAAGAAAUAUUUUUUUCAAUGGUAAAAUAUAAAUACCAAGCCAACAAAACUGUAUUCUAAAAUAGAUUUUUAGAAAGGAUAAAUGUUCAUUUAGUCCAUAUAUUUUAAUAUUAGUGUCCAUAAUUUUAAAAAUAAUUCAAAAUAUUUUUGUUAUUAAACUAUUGAUAUUUAUGCCGUUACAUUCCAUUCAUUUUAGAUUACUUUUAUAAUAUUACCCUCUUAAAAUAAUUUUUUUAGAUAUUAAUAAAAAAAUUAAAUUACCAAUUGAACUCCAAAAAUAAAAUAAAAUAAAAACAAAAAGAAUAUUUAAUUUUUUUUUGGAAGCUCACCUAUGUCCAAAAAAAUUAGUCUUGUAAAAAAAAAUCGAAUUACCAAUUUUUUGAACAUUAAUAAAAAAAAUUAUAAAUUAACUCUUCAGUAAUAUAUUUCACAAAAAUUAAUAUAUAAUAUUUUUAUUUUAUUUUUGGGUUAAAUUGGUUUAAUUUUUUUUUAUUAAUGUCUAAAAAAUUACUGCUGUACGGCCAAGGCGGAUGUACGGUACAGCAGUAAUAUUUUUGCUGACUUUUUUUAGCAAAAUGAAGACCUAAUUACUAAUAAUUCAUACCCACACGCAUGUGGGAUUAGACAAUUCAAUGCAAACGGCCAAGGCGAGAAGCUUCUAGGCUCUAGCAUUAUGUCCUUUGUUGAUGUCACUCUAAUGCCUAAAGGUUAUGCUUGUUUUGGAGUGGUAGAUGGAUUUUAAUAGUGGUAUGUCAAAUUUCCAAUGACCUAAGAUGAGGAUUUUGUGUGAGAAUUUUCUAGUGAUUUUUUUGUGUUUUUAUUGAUUUUUUAUGAUUUUUUUUUUUUUGUAUUUUGUUAGUUCAUUAAAUUCAUAGAUAUUUACUUUUGAAUUUUUUCAUAGAUAUUUACUUUUGAGUUCUUCUAUUAUGAUCCGGUGAUAAUAUUGUGUUUUAUUUAUUAGCGCUAUGUUGAGGUUUUUCUCGAUUAGAUUUUGUUUUUUUUUUUUAAUACUGAGUACAUAUCAGAUUCCUAUAUUACACAUAUAUUUACAAUUAUUAUUAGAACAGACAUUAUAUUGAUAUUUAUAAUCAGAUAUAUAGUUUGGAACUUAUAUUAUUACAUUAAUUCUAUAAAAUACAUGUUCAUACAUAUGACCCUCACAUACAAGGGAUGCCUAUACUCUAUUUGUAUUUUGUAAAGGAGAAAAAUUUACAAAUUAAUUCCACAUAAUUGUUUACUUAAUUGAAAAAAAUUGAGCGUAUAGUGAUUCGAACCACUACUCUUAUAGUCCUUCUUAACUUUGAGAGUAGUGAUUUAUCAAUGGAUUAAAGCCCAAGUGGCGAUUGAACUUUGUUAGAUCUUAGUAUGUUGAAUUUUUUUUAAUUUUAAAGAAUUAAUCUUAUUGAUAAUUCCCUUUUUUAUGGUCAAAACUAUAUUGCCACAAAAGUUUCGUACCCUUUUUUUUGCCUUUUUCAAUGUCAAUUAUAGUAGAGUCCAUUUAUUUGUUUUGAAAAAGGCUAAAGACUUUUUUAUUUUCACAUAUUAGUCCUGCACCUAAAAUUUUUCAAUUGCUGUGAUGCUUUUGGAAGCUACAAUCUAUUUCAGAAGCACCUUCUGAAGAUGUUGAUAUGAACACAAUAUUAUGGCAUCACAUACUUGUCAUUUGGACAAUAUAAGUUUUUUUUUUUUUUUGCAAUAUACAUAAAGAAACAAAUGCAUAAUUUGCUAGAAUUGAAGAGGGAAAAAAAAAAAGAAAUCCAUUUCACUAUCAAUCUAAAAAAUAAAAAAAUUGGUCAUGGCCAUGGUGUUGUUUUGUGUUUUCCAUCACUUAACCAUUAAUCCGACAAGAAUAUAACACAAAACAAAAUUGAAUGGUAAGUUUGACAUAAUUAUUUAAUUGGUCAUAUCCUUGUUAAUUAAGGAUGACAAAAUUUAGAUGGCUAUAAUUAUUAGCCAUCUAUGUGUAAAAACAUAAUUAUCCAAUAUGAAUAUGGUUAUUUAAGGGUAGACAUGGAUAUUUAAUUUUUAUUAUAAAUCACUAUGUAUUUUAUAAUAUGAAAAACUAAUUAAUGUGUUUUACAUAAAAAAUUCUUAUUUUUUAUUUAAUUUCCUAAAAUGAUUAAUAUUAAAAGGUAAUUAAAAUUAUUUUCAAUAUAGAAAGAAAAUAAUAAAACAAAAUUAUUACUCUUAUUUUUAAUUACAAAAAAAGAAAUAUUUAAAUUAUUUUCAAAUAGAGUAAUUGUUAAGAUUUAUUCUUUUUAUUUAAGGACAAAAACUCAACUAAAAGUACAAAAUUCUUGUUCAAAUGAACAGAAUGAUUUUACGAAUUGAUAAACUAACACUUUAUUAUUAGUAGUAAAUUAAUAUAUUUUUCUACAUUAUCAAAUAAUUAAUAGUAUGUGAAAUAAAUAUUAUGUUACAAGAAAAUAAUAAAACAUUAAUCAUAAAUUAAAACCUGUCUACGGUGCAGCUCUGUGACUAAGGGUAUCUCCAAUGCUUAAUACUAUUUUGGUGUAACACCAACACAAAAAAUGUACCUUUUUCACACCAAAUUAUUAUUUCAUCUCCAACCUAUUUACACUAAAAAGAAUAUUCUUCUUUUUAUUCUUUUAAUUCUCAAGAAUUAAUUCAAUUAACACAAUAAAUAUUACUAUUAAUAUAGAUAAUUAAGUAAUAAGUAAUUUUAAUCGAUUAACAAAAAAAUAUAUAGAAAAUUAUUAAAUUUGCAUUUAAUUAACUUAAUUAGUACAUUCUGAAAAUUAAACAAUAAAUUAAUAUAGAAAAAUACAAUAACAAUAAUAAUACUUUAGUUAUUCGAAUUACUAAAUUUAUCCAUAAAUGAUCAAUUAGUGGAUUUCAGAGUGCAGUGUGAGCCUCUUUAUCCUUGAUUUGUUUGUGUCGAGCAAGAAAUUCUUGAAAUCUAAUAUUCUCAUCUACCCUCAUAGCAACGGUUGGUAUUGGCGCUUGCAUCCAAUCAUUAAUUGUUGCAUUAACAUCACGUUCAUCUUCGAUUAUCAUAUUGUGUAUAAUAAUGCAGGCAGUCAUUAUAUCAUGUAACUCAUGUUUGUUCCAAAAACGUAAUGGUCCAGCAACAAUUGCAAAAUGAGAUUGAAGGACUUCAAAUGCACGUUUUACAUCUUUCUGAUAUGCUUCUUAUCUCAUGUCAAAUAAUUUCUUUUUAGGACCACGUAGAUCAUGGAUCGUUUGUAUAAGAGUAGACCAUUUUGGGUAGAUAGCAUCAGCUAAAUAAUAACCCAUAUUAUAUUCAUUCCCUUUAAUGACAUAAUGAGCAGGAGGAGUAAUACCUGAAGCGAGGUUGGCAAAAAGAUGGGAUGCCUCCAAUACAUUAAUGUCAUUAUUUGAACCAGGCAAACCAAAAUGUGCAUGCCAUAUCCAAAUAUCAUAAUAAACUACAGCCUCCAGAAUAAAUAGUUGGGGUUCCACUACGACCAGCAUAUUGUCCGGCCCAAGCUGUUGGAUAACUUUUCUACUUCCAUUGCAUGUAAUCUAGGCUGCCUAAUAUUCCUGAAAAACCACACUCUUUACGAACAUGGAGUAGCCUAGCGGCGUCAUUAGUGUUGGGUGAUCUAAGAUAUUGCUCUGCAAAAACUUCCACAAUUGCACGACAGAAUAUCUUUAAACUUUCAAUUGUUGUAGACUCUCCAAUUUUAAUAUACUCAUCACUAGCAUCUAUUGGCAUGCCAUAUGCCAACAUCCGAAAUAUAACAGUGAUUUUUUGAAGACCAGAUAACCCAAGUCUGUCGACGCCAUCCCUUUGCUGCAUAAAAUAGUUGUCAUGACCUUGUACGGCAUUAGUAAUACGAUUGAAUAAACUUUGAGACAUUCUAAAUCGACGGCAAAACAUUGAAUCAUUGAAACGCGGGUUCUUUGAGAAGUAGUCGUUGAACAGAUUACGAUUAGCCAUUUCAUGAUUGCGGUUGAUUAUUAAAUGACCUGUAACUGAACCAUUAUGGAUCACUUUGUUGUUUAGUUGAUUGAGAUAGUAAACCAUGCAAAUAUUGUUGUUUGAAGUCAUGCUAAUUAUCACUUCUUCAUGUACAUUGAUCGCCUCAAUAUCAUUUAUUAGGUUUACAUCAUCAUCAUUUUCAACAUCAGAAUUUGAAGAAGAUGAAGAAUAUGAUAAGUGCUGAGAUGAACUUCCAAUAUUGAAAUUCAUUUUCAAAGAUAUGUAAAUUGAAUGAGCUUUAGUACACAUAAAUAUAUCAUUUUUAUAAUAGAUUUACUUUUACCCAAUCUUAUCAUAUCUACACAUAAUUCAAAAUUUAAAGAUAAUGAUUCUCUCAUAUUCAAUACCAACCGUUGGAUGGAUUUCACUUAUUUUCAUCAAUUAGAUUAACUUUUACCCAAUUUUAUCAUAUCUACACAUUAUUCAAAAUUUAAAAAUAAUGAUUCUCUCAUAUUCAAUACCAAUUGUUGGAUGGAUUUCACUUAUUUUCAUCUAUUAGAUAUGUUUCUUUUUCAUCUAUAAAUACCAUUGUAAACUUCACUUCACUCAAACAUAUCUCUUCAACCAUUUAUUCUAUAAAAUGGCUCUAACUCCAAGAAGUACUUCAUACACCCAUGAAGAAGAUAUACACUUAUGUCAUAUAUAUCUUGAUAUUUCCCAAAACCCUAUUGUUGGUAUAAAUCAAUCUCGAGAUGCAUUUUGGUCUCGAGUUGAAAUUGAAUACAAUAAUUCUAAACUGGAGUUCACCACUCAAGUUCGACCACGAAUAUCUUUGCAAAAACAAAUGCAAAGUAUUCUAGCUGCAAUUGGCAAACUGAGGGGAUGCGUUCAACAAAUUGAAAAUCAAAAUCCAAGCGGUGCUUCUGAACAAGAUAUUGUAAACUUAUAUUACAUCUUUACUAUUUUUAUCUUACACUUAUUUUAUAUAUAACAUUCUAAUUACAUUAUUCUGUAGCUAAAUCGAGCGAAUGUGUUACUGGCACAAGAUAAGAAAUACAAUAAAGGGUUCAAAUUUGAUCAUGUAUGGCCUAUCCUUAAAGAUAUUGAAAAUUUUGGAGAUGAUCAUAGCAUCGCAACACCAUGCUUUCGAAGGCAAAGUAGCGAAUUUGUGUCAUCACAAUCAGAUUCUCUCGCUCCGGAGUCUCCAACAUCAGCAUCUCUUGGUCUAUUAUCAUUUUCACUAAAUAUAAAUGAUGAGCAUGUUGACGAUUGUUCUACUCAACGACCCAUUGGAGUAAAGAAGGCAAAAGGAAAAAGGAAAGUUGAAGAUCAAAAUUCACUAGUUAUUGAUACUAUUAAAGAAGACAAUCGACAACUUCAUGAAAUUCUUAAAAAAGGUAGUGAAGAUAGGCAAUAAAAUUAUUAAAUUCAAAUGAUACGAGCCCAAAAUGAGAAAAAAAAAUUGGAGAUGGUCACAUCGUGAAGAAAAUAAAAUUUUACUUAAAAAUUUAAAUUCGAUAAGUGAUCCUAACUUACGUCAAUAUUUUUCAAAAUGAACAAAUUAAGAUUUUGCAGAGAAUAUCUCAGUAAGGCCAAUCAUCUCAAAAUAUUGCCAAUAAUAUUGGCCAAUAUUUUGAUGAUAUUAGAAGAUCUAAUAAUGAUCUCCCAGAUUAUUAAAUAAUUGUUCCAAUUUAUGCUAGUAGUAGUAGCUUUUUUAAUUUAUGUUAAUUUUAUUUUGUAAUAUGUAAUCUAGUAAUUAAUGUUAUUGGCAUUUUAUUUUUAUUAUUAAUUUUUGUGUUGAAUAUUUUUUAUUUAAAUUAUUAGUAUAAUAAUCAAAAAUUAAAAAAAAAAUAAAAAAAAUAAAAAAAUAAUAAUAAUAAUUUAAAAUAUUAUAUAAAAUAGGACAUAUAUGUAAAUAAAAGAUAAUAAUAAGAAUAUUUGAGAUUUUUUUUUCUAACAUCAAAUGAAUAGUUUUAUACCAUAUUUAGUACAAUAUUAAACAUAACACUAUUUUAAAAUUGAUUUUGGUAUUAUAUUAAAAAAAUAUUUUACACUAAAAUAAUAUAAAAUAUAAUUUAGUGUUAGUUUUAGUGUUAUGGUAAAAAUGGGCUAACAUCUCCCACCAUCCUACUAUCCCAUUUUCUAUUGUUUUAUUUCUCACUCCACAUCCAACGGCUGAUGCAGUCUGUAGCUUACAGAAUCUGUAAGCUAGCAAAGCCCCAUAAAUUAUAAAUAGAGUGCUUUAAAUCAAAGUAGCAGAAAAUUCUAGAUUUUCUGUAGCUGGAUUGUGAUUUGUGAUGAAGCAGGGAGGGUGACGCGUAACUGUAAAAGCAGAGUCAAAAAGGAAAGUGGCGAUGGCCUUGUGGGGUCUUAGGCUACUUGGGUACCACGAAAACCGGAUAAACUUUACUCUUGUUUUUGGAAAAAAUAAUAAGAUUCUACCGGAUGAACUUUUAUUUUAUUUUAUUUUACCUUUUUAGUAUUUUGUUAGUUCAUUAAACUUACAGAUAUUUAAUUUGAGAUUUUUUAUUAUGAUUGGGUGAUUAUGUUGUGUUUCAUUUAUUAGCACUAUGUUGCAUUUUUUUUUCAAUCAGACCUUAUUAGAUCUACUAUGUAAAACAUUUUUUUUCUUUUAAUUGUAAAAAAUUGAUAGUAUUGAUAGUUCACUUUUUUAAUAUAUGUUGUUAUUACUGUCAUAAAAAUAUUGGUCACUUGAGUCUUAGAUUCUUCCAGAAUUUAAGUGUUGUAUUUAAAUCUGAUAUAACAUAAUAUAUUUAAGGGAAAAGGACAUUCAACCCCCCAACGUUUAAAAAAGGGGAUAAAAAAUUCCUCAACGUUUCAAAAAGGACUUAUAACCUCAUUUCCGUUAAUAAACAUCGUUUGUUUUAACAGUAAAUUUAUUUUUAAUUUUUAAUUACUAUUAUACUCUUAUAAUAAAUAUAAAUUAAUAUAUUGAUUUGAGACAUGUCACAAUUAAUAAUUUUUUUAAAACUAAAAAUUGAGAUACAAUUACAUUUUUUUCCAAAUUAUUUGCUAUAAAUUAUACAUUUCUAAUGAUCAAAACUUUCAUAUGUGAUUAUUAUUAAUAAAACGAAAUUUGAUUAAACCAUUUUUCUUUGAGGAAUCAAAAUGAUAUUAUUAUUGUUAGAAAUGUAUAAUUUAUAGUAAAUAAUUUUGGCAAAAAAAUAAUUGUAUCUCAAUUUAAAAUUUAUAAAAAAUUGUGAUAUAUCUUAAAUUAAUAUAUUAAUUUUUUUAUUAUAAGGGUAUAAUAAUAAUUAAAAAUUAAAAAUAAAUUUACUGUUAAAAUAAACGGUAUUUAUUAACGAAAAAAAAGUAUAAAUCCCUUUUAAAAUAUUAUGAAUUAAACCGUGUUUGAUAACAAAAAAAAAUUUAUAAAUCUUUUUUAAAAUAUUGAGAAAUUUUUUAUCCAUUUUCUUAAACGUAGGGGGUUGAAUGUCUUUUUCCCUAUAUUUAAACCCGAUGGUGUCACUUAUUAUUAUACUUUUGGCCAACUUUAUUUCUUUAAAAAAUUAUUAAUUUCUUUUUGAAAAAAUACAAUUCUACAUUUCACAAAUAUCACAACCAUUGUUUCCACGAACCUUACUUCCCCUGGCACUGUAGCACAUCGCGUAGAAAUUAAGUCAAGCCUUUCUGCUGCCUAUAUAACCACAUCCCAUGGCUCUCCCCUUAUUGCAGACCAAAUUGGAUAGUAGAAGCUCUUACUCUCUCAUUCUUGUUCUACGUUUCUCCUGCCGUGUGUUGAAUCAGAAAUUAAUGGACAGUCUCGUGGGGUUCAGAUUCCACCCAACUGAUGAAGAAAUUAUUCUUCUCCUGACGAUGAAGAGACGUGACCCUGCAGGUUUCUCCGUCCGUACGAUCAAGGAAAUCGAUCUCUACAGCUUUGAGCCCUGGGAGCUACCCUGUAAGUAAUCGUGUAAACCAAGUACUCUACACGAUGUCUGUUUAAGAUUAAUUAAUUAGUUCAGUAACUAGAAUUCAGAAGUUAAUGGAAUCUUUUGUUGCGAUGCAGGGCAUUCUGACAUUCAGUCUGAGGAAGAAGUGUGGUACUUUUUCUGUGAGCCUUAUUAUAAGUAUACCAAGAGUAAACGGGUACAUAGAAGAACAAAGGAAGGCUACUGGAAAAAGACUGGCAGAGGUUCUAACAUCAAGCGCAAAUACAAAACUGAGGUGAUUGGUACGAAGAAGAUUUUGUCUUUUUCCCGCGAUGAUGCUGCUGCCGAGAAAGAUAAGACUGAGUGGGUUAUACACGAGAUAGCUGUUGAAAAUAGCCCUGACUUUGAGGUAUUAGCCUCUGUUUUAGAACUGCAUAUGUGUUGUGAAACAGUCUGUUUAUUUUCUUGAAAAAUAAUUGUAAAAUACUCUGUUCGUGUUAUUGCAGAAGGACUUUGUUGUGUGUCGCCUUGAAAGAAAACGGGAGAAGAAAACGCUUGGUGUUGUUUCCACUAAGAGAAAACGGGAGACGAAGACGCUUGGUGUUGUUUCUACUAAGAGAAAACGGGACAAGAAGCUUGGUGUUUCCACCAGCGAUGGUGAUCAAUCUUGUCAAAAUUUGACUUCUAAAAGAAGUCACGUUGCAGAAGAUACUAAUAGAAAUCAUGUUGCAGAAAAAGUAAAUUUGGUUUCUACUAGGAAUCAUGUUGCAGAAAAUAUUGGUUUGGUCCCUGAACCUCAGGGAAGGGACCAUUCGAUUUCUUGUUACAGAAAUCAUGUUGCAGAAAAAAUGGUCGAAGAUUCUGUUGAGGCAGAAACUCGACGGCUUGCAGAACUCAAUCGACGGGGUGAUGGCUUUGAUGGACGGAAUGACACGUCUGUCUCGGCUGUGCAGUCAUCAGAUUAUCCAGAACAGGAAUCAUCAGAUUGUAAUGGUUCUAGUUGUGGUAGCGGUUUAUUGAAUUCUCAGUUGGACGGUGGGCAGGUAGAU
rnacentral:lncRNA from 1 species